rnacentral:rRNA from 1 species
GGUGAGUCGGGUCCUAAGGCGAGGCCGACAGGCGUAGUCGAAUGGAUGAACGGGUGGAUAUUCCCGUACCGACCAUGGACCGGCAAAACCGAGACGGUGAGUACUGACCUCCGCCUCGUGGUGGUUCCUUCCUUCGGGUUGGUUCCGUCGCGUGGCGUUGGGACCGUAGCCGCAGUAGGUCAGCGCAGGGGUGACACGGAAUGGGAGCCGGCCGCGGAGGUGGUUUUCCGUGGUCAAGCACGCAGCCAGUCAUGUAGGCAAAUCCGCAUGGCGUGCAUGGCGAGGUGUGAUGAUGGGAGCCGUUAUGGCUCGAUAUCCGGUUGUCCAGGCCGUCGAGAAAAGCCUCGGCGCGAGGGCCAUGGCCGCCCGUACCCCAAACCGACACUGGUGGUCAGGUAGAGAAUACCAAGGCGAUCGAGCGAAUCCUGGUCAAGGAACUCGGCAAAUCACUCCCGUGCCUUCGGUAUAAGGGAGACCCACUGGGGUGAAGGACCUUGCGUCCGGAGCUUUGGUGGGUGGCACAGACCAGGGGGUAGCGACUGUUUACCAAAAACACAGGUGCAUGCGAAGGCGAAAGCCGCUGUAUAUGCACUGACGCCUGCCCGGUGCCGGAAGGUUAAGAGGAUCCGUCAAUCCCUUCGGGGACGAAGCGGUGAAUUCAAGCCCCGGUAAACGGCGGUGGUAACUAUAACCAUCCUAAGGUAGCGAAAUUCCUUGUCGGGUAAGUUCCGACCUGCACGAAUGGCGUAACGACUUCCCCACUGUCUCGACCAGGAGCUCGGCGAAAUUGCAGUACGAGUAAAGAUGCUCGUUAAGCGCAGAAGGACGAAAAGACCCCGGGACCUUUACUAUACCUUGGUAUUGGCGUUAGGCGCGGAUUGUGUAGCAUAGGCGGGAGGCUUCGAAGCGGGUGCGCCAGCAUUCGUGGAGCCGCAAGGUGAAAUACCGCUCUGUUCUCGUUUGACGUCUAACCUCGACAAGUCAUCCUUGUCAGGGACAGUGCCUGGCGGGUAGUUCAACUGGGGCGGUUGCCUCCCAAAGAGUAACGGAGGCGCUCAAAGGUCCGCUCAGCCCGGUUGGCAAUCGGGUGUCGAGUGUAAUCGCACAAGCGGGCUUGACUGCGAGGACGACGGUCCGAGCAGGGACGAAAGUCGGAGAUAGUGAUCCGGUGCCGGCGCACGGGCGCGGCAUCGCUCAACGGAUAAAAGGUACCCCGGGGAUAACAGGCUGAUCAUUCCCAAGAGUCCAUAUCGACGGGAUGGUUUGGCACCUCGAUGUCGGCUCGUCGCAUCCUGGGGCUGGAGCAGGUCCCAAG